rnacentral:lncRNA from 1 species
AACUAUCUCCCUCUUAUUAUAAAACGCGGUAUCAAAUAAGUAUCGGCUUUUGUACUACCUUUAAUCCACCUUUAAGUACGACCUUGAAAAAACGUUAUUACAAAACGCAGUUUAUCGCAAGUCCUAUUACUAUCUGUAGUACAAAAGAUAAACCAUCGAGCCCCCUAGUUUAACUGCAGUACUUAGUCGACAAACGUCAAAUUCCGACAUUAUUUACUUUUGAGGUUAUUUGUUUUGUGAUGAAAAAAACGAAAGUGGAUAUAAAUAUGUGUGAUUUGGAAUACUUGGAUGUGUUAGAAUACUAUUGAGAGUGUCCGGGGACCCAACAGAAUGCGUCAUCGACAAAAUCUCUUCAAAUUACCUGACGACAAUUUUCGAUAUAAAUAUCGAUUUACGUUUUUCGAAAUAAUAGUCAAUUGAAUGCAUGAUGAUAAUCCAGGAUGAUCCUAUGAUGCUCAACUGGGCUCGCCAUAAAAUUCAAGACUAUUUUGGCGUUUUGCACGCCGUAUCUCUGCCAGUAAUAUGCAAUGUUUGGAAAAGACUGGAAGCUUGCUAAAAUGUACAAAAAUGCCUAAAUGAGAAAGGGAACAAGAUUGUGUGAUGAAGAACAGUGUCCAACAUGUAUCAGUGCAUUUGACUGUAUAAAUAGACAUCGGAAUAAAAUAUAAUUUUCUACUUU